UUCGUUCAGGACCUCUCCUAGGCUAAUUUCGACGUCCUGGACCCGUUUUUGAAGUCCGUUUUCCCAAAUUCAAUCGUUUGAAUAGAGUUUGACCAAAGGUACUCCUUUAUGUGAAUAGGUGCAAUUAUUAACGGUGAUUCCGUGAUACCUUUUUAGUAUAGCUUUGCACCAUCGGUGUACGGACCUACGAACGAGGAUUACGAUAUAAGCUACGAGGCAUUUCCCUACCAGUGAUCCAGUGUUAUAUUUCUUCUGCUUCGAUAUCUAUUGUAAUAUAGCACAUCUCUAUCUUAAAUUCUGUUUGUAUUCUGUAAUAGACGUAUGCUCUGACAUUAUGCAUUGAUCCAAAUGGUAUUAAUUAGAAGUUGAAUUUGUAGUA